rnacentral:rRNA from 1 species
AUUGAACGCUGGCGGCAUGCCUUACACAUGCAAGUCGAACGGCAGCACGGGAGCAAUCCUGGUGGCGAGUGGCGAACGGGUGAGUAAUAUAUCGGAACGUGCCCAGUCGUGGGGAUAACGUAGCGAAAGCUACGCUAAUACCGCAUACGAUCUAUGGAUGAAAGCGGGGGAUCGCAAGACCUCGCGCGAUUGGAGCGGCCGAUAUCAGAUUAGGUAGUUGGUGAGGUAAAGGCUCACCAAGCCGACGAUCUGUAGCUGGUCUGAGAGGACGACCAGCCACACUGGGACUGAGACACGGCCCAGACUCCUACGGGAGGCAGCAGUGGGGAAUUUUUGGGACAAUGGGCGCAAGCCUGAUCCAGCAAUGCCGCGUAGCAGGAUGAAGG